UUCUGGUUGAUGGAUUUUGCGGGCCGGGGUCAGGGGAUGCCCUGAGAGAAAGUGGGGUGGUGGUGAGAAUAAAGCCAGGCCCAAGGGCCUUUGGCCACCAAAUUCCGCAAACACUUGUUUUCCUCCUGGGGCCGCAUCUGGGACACACACAGGAACGUGAUUGGACACAGCUUUGGGCUCUGUUGUUUCGAGUGCGCUAUUUUGUCCAUCCAAACAGAAGAUUAUGAAUGGAGAGCUACAUCCCAUGGGGUGGCAGAUGAAGAUGUGCAAGAAGAAGACACUAACAACUGAAUUGCAGAUUGAGGAGAUGAGAUUAUGGUGACAGAAUCCAUCUUCGGUGUAUGUGCAUGAAGAAAUAAGCCAAAUCUACAUCUAUAAAACCGCGGGAAGGAAUGAGAUAAUAAUCAGUUGCAGGUCUGCUUAGAUUUUAAUCGUUUAGUGUAGUUCGUGGCAGGGUCUGAUACCCUAUUUCAAUAGUGGAGAGAAUUAGAAAGCAUUUUCUUUUUUCAUAUCUACUAUUAUUGGUUAUAUAAAAGAAGUAUCAAAUAGU
rnacentral:lncRNA from 1 species